rnacentral:rRNA from 1 species
UACGUAGGUGGCGAGCGUUAUCCGGAAUUACUGGGCGUAAAGCGCACGCAGGCGGUCUCUUAAGUUUGACGUGAAAGCUCCCGGCUUAACUGGGAGAGGUCGUUGAAUACUGGGGGACUUGAGGCAAUGAGAGGGAUGCAGAAUUCCAGGUGUAGUGGUGGAAUGCGUAGAUAUCUGGAGGAAUACCAGUGGCGAAAGCGGCAUCCUAGCGUUAGCCUGACGCUCAUGUGCGAAAGCGUGGGGAGCGAAC